rnacentral:rRNA from 1 species
UACGUAGGGUGCGAGCGUUAAUCGGAAUUACUGGGCGUAAAGCGUGCGUAGGUGGUUCGUUGUGUCUGUGGUGAAAGCCCCGGGCUUAACCUGGGAACGGCCAUGGAAACUGGCGAGCUGGAGUGUGGCAGAGGGGGGUGGAAUUCCGCGUGUAGCAGUGAAAUGCGUAGAGAUGCGGAGGAACACCGGUGGCGAAGGCGGCGAUCUGGGAAGAUACUGACGCUGAGGUGCGAAAGCGUGGGGAGCAAACAGG